GACAGGAGACAUGUUUCCAUGGUGAUUUUGAAAAAAAUCUUGGUUGCUUUGAAAAAAUAUUCAGAAAUGAAAUGAGCAUAGAAUUUUCAGUUGGAGGCCGGCUCCAAGGCCCUGGCUUUGCCCCACCCCCUCAUCACCUGGGCGUGGCAGUUUAUCGUUGUCUGUUCUCAUGCGCCAAAACAGCAGCCCGUUUGAGUCUGCCCCUGAGGGUUCUUAGCAUCAGAUGACUGCAAUCUCCUGCGGCAGGCGGGUCACCCUGGUUGAACGUUUCUGCAAGCUUGCAAUCGACAUUCACCUUUGUACCUGGUGUGCUGGCUAAUUCUGAAGCCAAUUGAUUGGAUUCAGAGAUGCAUAUGAUGAGGAUCAGGAUGUAGCUCUCAGCUACUGCUCCAGCACCUGCCUGGAUACUGCCAUGCUCCCUGCCAUGAUGAUAAUGAACAAAGCCUUGGAAAGUAAGGAAGUAAAUGCUUUCUCUGUAAUAGUUGCUGUGGUCACAGUGCUUCUUCGCAGCAAUAGAACAGUGACCAUGUGCAGGGCUGCUUCUGCCUUCAUGCUUUCCCCAACCUGAUGGACAGUCCCAGAAAACCACGAGCCAAAAUAAACUUUCUCCUGUCAGAUGCUUCUUGUAUUUGGUCAUGGCAUUAAGAAAAGUAGCUAAUUCAGAAAAUUGGUACCAGGAGUGGGGUUACCACUUUGAUAAACCAUCCUUGUGGUUCUUAGGUCUUUAGAACAAGUUUGUGGGAAUCAUGUGUAAGUUUCUGGAGCUGUGGGUUAUAGAAGUCCUAGAAUUCUGGGCUUGAUGGGAGAUUCUGAUGGGUGUUCGGGAUCCUAGAUACCAAUAGAAGUGUGGAUAGUGAAAGCCAGGUUCAUGAAGUUUCAGAGGGGAACAAGAACUGUAUUAAGAACUGUGCUGGAAGCUGCACAAGCAUAUUCCAGACUCCCAUUGAACGCUGCUAUGAAAAUCAUACAGAAUGCAUGAAAGACCCAGCUGCCUGAAGACCAAGAAGCCAAUGCCAACCUAUGGACAAAGAUGACAAAUCUCAGGUCUUGCUAAUCUCCAGCAUCACCCAGCCUGAAAUUCAGGCCAGCCUGAGACCCAGACAUUUGCACUGGUACAGACAGAGUCCCAGGGUGCCUCUCUAGCUUGGUUUAAGGAGCAGGAAGGGGGCCUUCUAAUACUUGAGAAACAAAACAACUUCAUAUUACUUUCUUCCCCCUCCCCCAGCUCCCCUUACCCAAGCCCCAAUCAACCUUUGAUGUCUGGGGCACAAGACCUCUCAGGAAGAUUCAGAGAAAGGAAUAUUCCUUGUGAAGAGAGAAGCUGCAGGCACAAAACGGAGGGUGUGCUGGCUGGUUUGGUGUCAGCUUGACAAGAGCUAAAGUCAUCUGAGAGGUGGGGCAGUGAUGGCACACGACUAUAAUCCCAGCACUCAGGAGGCAGAGUUCAAGGCCAGCCUGGUCUAUAGAGACAAGUUCAAGGACAGCCAGGAUUACAUAGAAAAGGCCUGUCUCAAAAAACCAAAAAGAAAAGGAAAGGGGGGGGGGAGAGAGAGAGAGAGAGAGAGAGAGAGAGAGAGAGGAAAAUAGCUCCCUAGGAUCAGGUAUUUCUUAAUUAGUGAUUGAUGGGGGAAGGCCCAGAUCAUUUUGAGGGGGAUACAUCCCUGGGCUGGUGGUCCUGGAUUCUAUAAGAAAGUAGUCUGAGUAGCCAUGGAGAGCAAGCCAGUAAACAGCACCCUUCCAUGACCUCUGCAUCAGCUCCUGCCUCCAGGUUCCUGCCCUGCCUGACUUCCUUUCCUUAUUUCCUGCAAUGAUGAACAGAUGUUUAAGCCAAAAUAAACCCUUUCCUCCCUCCCCAGUUUGCUUUUGGUCAUGGCAUUUCAUCACGGCUGUAGUAACCCCAGCUAAGGCAGAGAUUGGUACCAGGAGAGUGAGAGAUUGCUGUGAUGGAAUUGUCUACAUCUGGGAAAGUACUUUGGAACUUUAGGUUAGAAAAGUCUUUGAGUGUCGACAGCUCAGAGCGAUGCUCUGUGGGAGCUUGGGAGGUAAGAAUGCUGAGAGCAGUGCAAAAGACAGAGUCCUGGCUUGUAAGUUUCAGAAGGGAGCAAAGACUCUACUGGGCCUUUUGUGUGAAUCUGUCUGACCAGCUGGGGCUGAAGAGGCCGUGAUUAAAAAGAGGCCGGUACCGUUGAAGUGAAGUCUUCGAGUUACUGGAACAAUUGAUGCUGAUCAGCUGGAGCUGAGACCUCAGUGCUGAUUAAGAAGAGACCAGAAUCACUGAGGUGAAAUUUUCUGGGAAGGGUUUGCUCAAGGUCAGCACACAGAAGCUGUGUUCCAGAGGCGGCUAUGGUUGUAGCUUGUGUUUGGCAGGCUCAGCGUGGUAGUGUAAGCAUCACCCAGGUGGUACUGGUUUUGAAGGCGAGAAGGGAUCAUGCAGAGCAGCCGAGGCUUGGCACUGUGAGAGGCCAGGAGAGGCCAUGGGUGUUGGUGCAGCCUCAGUGGCAGUUGAAGGCUCAGGAUUGAAGGGGUCAUGGAGAGCAGCUGAGGCUUGGCACCAUGAAGAGAGCCCAGGGGAGGCUGUUGACUGAAGUGCAGCCCAGUGGCAGCAGAGAUCUCUGGUAUCAAGAUGCUCUUCUUGGAAUGACCACGAACAACAGCAGCAGUAGUGGAGUGGAAUCAGCCUGAGCUUAGACGACAAGCUGUGUGCUGCAGAGCGCAGAGUCGGAAAGCGACCCCAGCCUUUGGAGGAGCCUCGGAGGAUCCAAGAACCUGCUACCCCAUUGGAAGUGGCCAUCAAACCUCAAUAUCUACAAACAGCAGUUGGGAUGCAGGCCAAGAAACAGUGGCAUUGGUUUGCCUCGAUCCUCAUUGCUGAUCUUCACCGACAAGGCUGUGCGUUGGUUUGCCUUGCUCUUCUGCCUUCCUAGUCUCCUCUGACUACACUUGGGCAUUGGCUCACCUUGCAUCACAUGGCUGAUCUUCGCUCGUCAUGACUUCGUAGUGAGUAACUUGUCAAAGAACCUCUCAUGAUAUUCUGGCAGCUUCUUGCCACUUUUGUGGACUUGGGCUGAUGGAUGGAGCCUCACAGUUUCUUCUGAAUUGAACAGCCGUUGCUGAUUUGUGAUUGGUGCUUGCUGAGUGGACUGGAUUGCCAGUGAUGAUUCGUGUUGGUGUCUUGAAAGUGGACUGGACUGCUGACAAUGAAGACUGGAAUUGCCCCAAAGAAUUUAUUUCUAAACAGGUCCACAACCCCUGUUUCCUAUUAACCUUUCUUUUCCAUUACCUCUGGAGGGUAGUGGGCUAGAAGGGAGGUUGAAGUGUUUAGAACCCUUAUUAAAGUGGAUUUUGAAAAUCAAAGACUACAGAAAUGGUCUGAGGUGCCUAAUGUUCAGGCCUUCUGAUCAUCUGCUAGGACAAGGAGACAUGCAGGGAAGGCUCAGUGGGGAUGCCUGUUGCAACGGUUUGUAUAUUCUUGGCCUAGGGAGUGGCACUAUUUAAAGAUGUGGCCUUGUUGAAGUAUUUGUCCCUGUGGGCAUGGGCUUUAAUACCCUGUCCUAGAUGCCUAUCCAACCAAUGUUCAGAGGGCCUUCAGAUGAAGAUGUAGAACUCUCAGAUCCUUCUGCACCAUGCCUGCCUGGAUGCUACCAUGCUCCUGCCUUGAUGAUAAUGGACUGACUUCUGAACCUCUAAGCAAGACCAAUAAAACAUUGUCCUUUAUAAGACUUGCCAUGGUCAUGGUGUCUGUUCACAGCAGUAAAACCCUAACUAGGACACCUGUGAAGUUUAGAUGACCUGUUGGAGUCCAAUUCCCAUCUCCCAAAGAGAAUACAAUGGGCCACAGAGCUCAGGAGAGGAAAUAUCCUCUCCCUGACUGCCA